rnacentral:lncRNA from 1 species
AUGAAGGCCUUCAGCCAACUCCCAACUACAGAACACUCAGACAUAUUUAUAUUAUGCCCAUGUGUUUUAAUUUGGUUGGAGAUUUCAAGUCUUAUGAUUUUACCCAUUAGACUAAGUCUUACAGACAUAUUUAUAUUAUGCCUAUGUGUUUUAAUUUGGUUGGAGAUUUCAAGUCUUAUGAUUUUACCCAUUAGACUAUACUCCUACUCAUUUAUUAACCUAGCUUACAAAAUGUGCAUCCCAAUUCAAAUGACUAUUACAAAUGGAUUAUUGACAUUUCUUUCAUGGAUUAUUAACAUUUCUUUCAUUCCUAUCUAGCACUGAAUGACCUCCAAACCCCUGAAAUCUCAGGAAACAGGACAAUGUAAAUAGUGUGUGUUUUAAGCGUUUAUUACACUUAAUUUACACAAAUUGCCCAUGCAAAAUGGAAUUAUACUUAUAUACUUAUAAGGAAUUAUACGUAUAUACUUAUAUCUGUGGAUAAAACGGUGUUAAAACGGUGUGGGAGUUAUAGCCUAAAACGCGUUUUCAGAACAUUCCAUUGGCCAAAUAGUAGAUACACAAUGAAAAAUUGAAAAACAUCUCAUAUUGUUUAUUUAUUACACUUCAUUUACACAAAUUGCCUGUGCAAAAAGGAAUUAUACUUAUAUACUUAUAUCUGUGGAUAAAAAGGAAUUACACUUAUAUACUUAUAUCUGUGGAUAAAAAGGUUUUGAUUGUGGGAGCUUCGGUGUGGGAGUUAUAGCCUAAAACGCGUUUUCAGAACAUUCCAUUGGCCAAAUAGGAGAUAUACAAUGUACUCGUUUUUUGGCGCCGCCCUGUUGGCGAAAUUUUCCAAACACAAUUUUCCUUUGCCAAAUAACUCCCGCCCACAUUAAUAAUUCUUGGCCACAUUUUCUAUAUAGACUCGGGUUUGCCCCUUGAUGGUUCCCUUAUAGUUUGAAGAACAUUCCUUGGGCCAAUUAGAAGAUAUACAAUUUCCUCGUUUAUUGCGCCCCCGAAUGGCGAAAUUUUCCGAUUUUUUUAUCGAACGCCAUUAAGGGUAACACCGACAUGUGUCUAAAAUGUGGGCUUGAUCUGAUGUCUAAUUUUGGUAUUUUUUGAAUUUUUGCGUUUCGACGUAAAACGUAGCUAAUAAACCAAUGUUCAAAACGCUACCGUUUCGUCGUCGAGGGUCGGAUCAAAAAAGUGUUCAAGCAUUCUUUGCGUGUGUGUCUGAAGAUGGUUUUUGACUGUGGGAGGUUCGGUGUGGGAGUUAUAGCCCAAAACGCGUUUUCAGAACAUUCCAUUGGCAAAUUAGGACACACAAUGUCGUAGUUUUUUGGCGCCGCCUUGUGGCGAAAUUUUCCGAAGACAAUUUUCCUUUUCCAAAUAACUCCCGCCCACAUUAAUAAUUCUUGGCCAUAUUUUCUAUAUAGACUCGGGUUUGCCCCUUGAUGGUUUCCCUUGAGUUUGAAGAACAUUCCUUUGGCCAAUUAGAAGAUAUACAAUUUCCUCGUUUAUUGCGCCCCCUAAUGGCGAAAUUUUCCGAAAUUUUUAUCGAACGACAUUAAGGUUAGCACCAACAUGUGUGUAAAAUUUGGACUCGAUCCGAUGUCUCAUUUUGGAUUUCUUUGGAUUUUUGCUAUUCCACGUCUAAUUUAGCUAAUAAACCAAUAUUCAAAACACUACCGUUUCGUCGUCGAAGGUCGGAUCAAAAAAGUCUUUCGUGCAUUCUUUGCGUGUGUGUCUGAAGAUGUCGUGUGCAAAGUUUGGUGUCGAUUGGUCAAGAAAUGUGGGAGGAGUAGGGAAAAAACAGUUUUGCGGUUUUCGCGAUUUUGCGAAAAAAAAUUAUGGACGCAAAUGGGCGUGGCCUAUGCCAAAAGAUGCAGCAGACUCCAGUGAAUAUGUGCUUACAAGUUUUUGACUGUGGGAGGUUCGGUGUGGGAGUUAUAGCCCCAAACGCGUCUUUCCUUGGUAUAGCGCCACCUAGUGGCCGGCGUGUCUGGAUUUUGUCGUCUGCAUAGUCUUCACGUACCUAGAUCUAGUCAUGUAAUUGGCGUGUGUGCACCAUUUACGGUUUGGGCUGUAGUAGCACUUUCUUGGUAGGAAGUAUAAUAAUAAUAAUAACUAGAACUGCAAGCAGUUAUGCAGGGGUCCAAGAAGUGUGCAUUUCGCCGGCACAACGCGGCAAGAAAUGUGCGUUUCGCCGGCACAAUGCGAAGCAAGUAUUCAAAACGCUACCGUGAACAACAUGUGGAUAUAAAGGUUUUGACUGUGGGAGCUUCGGUGUGGGAGUUAUAGCCUAAAACGCGUUUUCAGAACAUUGGCCAAAUAGGAGAUAGACAAUGUCGUCGUUUUUUGGCGCCGCCCUGUGGCGACAUUUUCCAAAGACAAUUUUCCUUUGCCAAAAACUCCCGCCCACAUUAAUAAUUCUUGGCCAUAUUUUCUAUAUAGAUUCGGGUUUGCCCCUUGAUGGUUUCCCUUGAGUUUGAAGAACAUUCCUUUGGCCAAUUAGAAGAUAUACAAUUUCCUCGUUUAUUGCGCCCCCUAAUGGCGAAAUAUUCCGAAUUCUUUAUUGAACGCCAUUAAGGGUAGCACCGACAUGUGUCUAAAAUUUGGACUUGAUCCGAUGUCUAAUUUUGGUAUUUUCUGAAUUUUAACGUAUCGACGUAAAACGUAGCUAAUAAAGCAAUAUUCAAAACGCUACCGUUUCGUAGUCGAAGGUCGGAUCAAAAAAGUAUAUAGUUUUUCUUUUCGUGUGCGUCUGACGAUGUCGUGUGCAAAGUUUGGUGUCGAUUGGUCAAGAAAUGUGGGCGGAGUUGGGAAAAAACAGUUUUGCGGUUUUCGCGAUUUUGCGAAAAAAAAUUAUAGACGCAAAUGGGCGUGGCCUAUGCCAAAAGAUGCAUCAGACUCCAGUGAAUCUGUGUGUUCAAGGCGAAAAAAAAUUAUAGACGCAAAUGGGCGUGGCCUAUGCCAAAAGAUGCAUCAGACUCCAGUGAAUCUGUGUGUUCAAGGUUUUGAAUGUGGGAGGUUCGGUGUGGGAGUUAUAGCCCCAAACGCGAUUUUCUUGUUAUAGCGCCACCUAGUGGCCGGCAGGUCUGGAUUUUGUCGUCUGCUUAGUCCGAACAGAUCUGGACCUAGUCAUGCAAUUUGCGUGUCGGCACCAUUUACGGUUUGGGGUGUGGGCCCACUUUUAGGGGGGUAAGAAUAAUAAUAACAAGAAGUGUGCAUUUCGCCGGCACAACGCGACAAGAAAUGUGCGUUUCGCCGGCACAAAGCGAAGCAUGUGUUCAAAACGCUACCCUGAACCUGUGGAUACAAAGGAUUUGACUGUGGUAGGAGUAGCGAGAAGUCAGUGUGGCGUUUUCGCGGCGAAAUUUUGUAGAAGAUAUACAAUUUCCUCGUUUAUUGCGCCCCCUUAUGGCGAAAUUUUCCGAAAUUUUUAUCAAACGACAUUAAGGUUAGCACCAACAUGUGUGUAAAAUGUGGACUCGAUCCGAUGUCUAAUUUUGGAUUUCUUUGGAUUUUUGAUAUUCCACGUCUAAUUUAGCUAAUAAACCAAUAUUCAAAACGCUACCGUUUCGUCGUCGAAAGUCGGAUCAAAAAACUGUCUGAGGGUUUCAUUGCGUGUGCGUCUGAAGAUGCCGUGUGCAAAGUUUGGUGUUGAUUGGUCGAGAAAUGUGGGAGGAGUAGCGAGAAAACAGUUUUGCGGUUUUCGCGAUUUUGCGAAAAAAAAUUAUAGACGCAAAUGGGCGUGGCCUAUGCCAAAAGAUGCAGCAGACUCCAGUGAAUCUGUGUGUACAAGGUUUUGAAUUUGGGAGGUUCGGUGUGGGAGUUAUAGCCCCAAACGCGUAUUCCUUGGUAUAGCGCCACCUAGGGGCCGGCGUGUCUGGAUUUUGUCGUCUGCAUAGUCCGAAGAGAACUGGAUCUAGUCAUGCAAUUGGCUUGUCGGCACCAUUUACGGUUUGGGCUGUGGUCCCACUUUUAGGGAGGUAAGUAUAAUAGGAAAAAUCCUUACAAAAACAAUAGGGAUCCAACCUGUUGGCUUGGACCCCUAACUAGAACUGCAAGCAGUUAUGCAGGGGUCCAAGAAGUGUGCAUUUCGCCGGCACAACGCGACAAGAAAUGUGCGUUUCGCCGGCACAAAGCGAAGCAUGUGUUCAAAACGCUACCCUGAACCUGUGGAUACAAAGGAUUUGACUGUGGUAGGAGUAGCGAGAAGUCAGUGUGGCGUUUCCGCGGCGAAAUUUUGUAGAAGAUAUACAAUUUCCUCGUUUAUUGCGCCCCCUAAUGGCGAAAUUUUCCGAAAUUUUUAUCGAACGACAUUAAGGUUAGCACCAACAUGUGUGUAAAAUGUGGACUCGAUCCGAUGUCUAAUUUUGGAUUUCUUUGGAUUUUUGAUAUUCCACGUCUAAUUUAGCUAAUAAACCAAUAUUCAAAACACUACCGUUUCGUUAUCGAAGGACGGAUCAAAAAAGUAAUGCAGGAAUUCUUUUCGUGUAGGUCUGAAGAUGUCAUGUGCAAAGUUUUGUGUCAAUUGGUCGAGAAAUGUGGGAGGAGUAGCGAAAAAACAUUUUUGCGGUUUUCGCGAUAUAGCGAAAAAUAUUCCUAGACGCAAAUGGGCGUGGCCUAGGCCAAAAGAUGCAGCAGACUCCAGUGCAUCUGUGUGUACAAGUUUUUGGACUCUGGGAGGUUCGGUGUGGGAGUUAUAGCCCCAAACGCGUCUGUCCUUGGUAUAGCGCCACCUAGUGGCCGGCGUGUCUGGAUUUGGUUAUCUGAGUAGCGGUGCCGGACCUGGAUCUAGUCAUGCAAUUGGCGUGUCGGCACCAUUUACGGUUUGGGCUGUGGUACCACUUCUAAGGCGUAUAGUAUAAUAAUAAUAAUCCUUACAAAAACAAUAGGGAUCCAACCUGUUGGCUUGGACCCCU